GACGAACGCUGGCGGCAGGCCUAACACAUGCAAGUCGGGCGGAGCGGCGAACGGGUGAGUAAUGCCUAGGAAUCUGCCUGGUAGUGGGGGAUAACGUCCGGACAAGGGCGCUAAUACCGCAUACUAUCAGAUGAGCCUAGGUCGGAUUAUCUAGUUGGUGGGGUAAAGGCCUACCAAGGCGACGCUCCGUAACUGGUCUGAGAGGAUGAUCAGUCACACUUGAACAGAGACACGGUCCAGACUACUACGGGAGGCAGCAGUGGGUAAUAUUGGACAAUGGGCGAAAGCCUGAUCCAGCCAGGCCGGGUGUGUGAAGAAGGUCUUCGGAUUGUAAAGCACUUUAAGUUGGGAGGCGUUACCAACAGAAUAAGCACCGGCUAACUUCGUGCCAGCAGCCGCGGUAAUU
rnacentral:rRNA from 1 species